UGUAGCUACUAGUUACACAUGCUAAUUAGAUGUGUAACUUAUAUAUACACAUGAUAGAACGCAGUUUACACAAGAUGUGUAACUGCAGUUUACACAAGCAUUGUAUAUAUGUAACUGCAGUUUACACAAGCAUUGUAUAUAUGUAACUACAGUUUACACAAGAUGUGCAUAUGAGAUGUGAAGACGUUGAGGUGAAACUUUAUUUCAAGCAGUGUGCGUAUGAGAUGCAAGCAGUGCUGAGCUUCGAUGCUCGUGUUGUUGGAAGUAUACUGUGAAGACAUUGAGGCGUUUUUUUGGGACAGUUCAUGUGUUGGCUUAUGGAGUAUCUACCUUAAACAGUGCAGUUGCUUGUAAGAAAUGCUAAAAGACAGGAACCGCAGUCAUGGUUUGCUAUUUGUGGUAUUGGUCUCGCUGG